rnacentral:rRNA from 1 species
GACGAACGCUGGCGGCGUGCCUAAUACAUGCAAGUUGAGCGAUGAAGAUUGGUGCUUGCUCCAAUUUGAAGAGCAGCGAACGGGUGAGUAACGCGUGGGGAAUCUGCCUUUGAGCGGGGGACAACAUUUGGAAACGAAUGCUAAUACCGCAUAACAACUUUAAACAUAAGUUUUAAGUUUGAAAGAUGCUAUUGCAUCACUUAAAGAUGAUCCCGCGUUGUAUUAGCUAGUUGGUGAGGGAAAGGCUCACCAAGGCGAGGAUACAUAGCCGAACUGAGAGGGGGGUCGGCCAGAAUGGGACUGAGACACGGCCCAAACACCUAAGGGAGGCCGCAAGAGGGAAUCUUUGGGCAAGGACGAAAGGCUGACCGAGCAACGCCGGGUGAGUGAAGGAAGUUGUCGGGUCGUAAAACUCUGUUGGUAGGGAAGAACGUAGAUGGGAGUGGAAAGCGCAUCAAGUGACGGUAACUACCCAGAAAGGGACGGCUAACUACGUG